UGAAAUUUUAUGCUCCUAGUAAGUAUGUCCCCCUAUUCUUAACAGGCCCUGUUUACAGAGUGCAAGAGGCGCUUAGACUACUCCAUGUUCCUGGGGCUGCGACAUUUGCAUUUCCACCGGCAGUGAAAAAGAGCUCCUGUUGCUCUACAUCCUUGGCAACAUUUGGUAUUGACGGUGUUCUGGAUAAUGGCAUUUCUAAUAGGUUUUUCAACCAAAUAAAAGCAUCUGCAUUCUUACUUUAGACUGCUAACUAAGAUCCCAUAUAGGUAAGUUCUUACUUAACACUGCUAAGCUGCCAGUCCAAAUUGGGAUGGGUAACCAAAAAAUGGAGCCAAACAGUAAAUGUUACUUGUCUUUCACAGCUGUUUUUCAACUCCUGUUACCUUAAGACUAUUCCACAUUGUCCGGUGUCAGGAUCUAAAAGCAAAUAGGUGACUUUCUAUUUGGUUUUUAACUGUAAUAUUAGUUCAGGUCAAAUAGCCAGUUGACAGAGAUUAAUCAAAACAUGAGAAU
rnacentral:lncRNA from 1 species